UACGUAGGGAGCAAGCGUUGUCCGGAAUCAUUGGGCGUAAAGCGCGCGUAGGUGGCUUCGUAAGUCCGUUGUGAAAGUCAAAGGCUCAACCUUUGAAUGCCGAUGAAUACUGCGGAGCUAGAGUACGGAAGAGGCGAGUGGAAUUCCUGGUGUAGCGGUGGAAUGCGCAGAUAUCAGGAGGAACACCAAUAGCGAAGGCAGCUCGCUGGGACGUUACUGACACUAAGGCGCGAAAGCGUGGGGAGCGAACAGG
rnacentral:rRNA from 1 species